GAUGAAGAACGCAGCGAAAUGCGAUAAGUAAUGUGAAUUGCAGAAUUCAGUGAAUCAUCGAAUCUUUGAACGCACCUUGCGCCCUUUGGACAUUCCGAAGGGCAUGCCUGUUUGAGUAUCAUGAACACCUCAACUCUCACGGCUUGUCCGUGAUGAGCUUGGACUUUGGGGGUCUUGCCGGCCUGUGGUCGGCUCCUCUCAAAUGGAUCAGCUUGCCAGUGUUUGGUGGCAUCACAGGUGUGAUAACUAUCUGCGCUUGUGGUUUUCCAUCAGAUAACCUUCAGUGAUAUGGAGGUUCGCUGGAGCUCACAAAUGUAUCUCCUUAGUGAGGACAGCUCUUUGAACGUUUGAUCUCAAAUCAGGUAGGACUACCCGCUGAACUUAAGCAUAUCAAUAAGCGGAGGA
rnacentral:misc_RNA from 1 species